ACAGCUCCUGUCGAUCACUCUAAAAAAAAUGUUCCUGUCGAUCUCUCAUCUCCCGAGUCCUCGACCUAGGUUUCGAUGAGCCGCCGCCAUCACCGACACCGCCGUAGACCGCGUCCUGGUCUGGCUUCUUAGCCCUUGUUCGCCGCACGACCCGGCAGCGCGUCCUCGCUUCUCCCUCCUCCGGUCCUCCUUCCUCCACAUCCAGCGGGGCCUCCUCCCUAUUCGCCCACGGCCUCCUGUACCUCGUCGCCGUCCGCCGGCUGCUCGCCCACCGCAUCCUCGCCCAGCACCUCGUGUAGCCAUAUCCCAGAGCUUGAAGACGCCACCCGGUGCUGGCGCACUUAUAAUAGCCACGACGGCUGGCCAUGAGGAGGAGGAGGAAACCCUCGGCCACGGAUUCGAGCGCUUCGAUGCUGCCAUAGCCGUGGCCUCCGAGCAUAAAUGUUGAAAGCCACAUAAAUAUCCAACACCAAGCUCCUCAUGUGGGACUGCGCUCAGAUGGACCUUGCUGCCACCGUCUCUUUAGGGGAACAGGUCUGUGAAGGAAAGGAAAAGAAAAGGAAUAAGCUGCAGUAAAAUUUUGGUGAAGAACUUUUUUGCCUUACCUUGUGAACAUUCAAAUCACCACUUUGAGAAGAAGAGGCCGGUGCAGACGCUCAUGGACCAGCUCGGCCUGCAGGACCUGGCCAAUACCGUGUCAAGUGUUGGUGCGUGUCCGCAUGGACACCAUCGACACACAUAGGAACGGUUCGGUUCAGCAGCAGCAAGCACAUCCAGCAGGUGCGACCUCCAUGCUCGGGUGACAACAACGACCAGCAUUGUAGAACGACAAUCCGCUUCUACUCACCUUGCCUCUGCCCCCUUGCUACAGUUCCAUGCUUUGAUAAUGCAUUAAUACAGCCAUGCAGGGAAAACAAAUAGGAAAAUUGACGUUGCUCUCCACACGGAAGCCUACAAUCAUGAACUUUUCCAAUUUUGCAAAGUUUGGAGAUGAUUGAAAUCUGCAUGCAUAGAAGCAUUUGAAGUAAAUCAGGUUUGAAUGGUAGGUACCAUAUGGUAGGAAAUAUGUUAGGUAUGGUGGUCUUCCUGAGAUGCAUAUUUCAUCAUAAGCUGCCCUGAAAGAAGUACUAAUAUGUAGUCUCAAGUAAGGGCUUACUCUUAUGCAAGUAAAAGCUGGUCACAACAUUCUAAUUUGUGAUGACCUGCAACAAUAUUCAAGAAAGAGAGAAUCCACUCGAGUAUUAACUGCACUGCUGCCUAUUCAAUCAAACCAAUCAUUGUUACCUCUAAAUGUUUACAUUAUAUGACAUUUUGUGUCUACACUGCAAAUAAGGAAGAGUUCAGCAUGAUUGAGCAUUUGAGCAUAUUAAAGAAGUCCAACCGAGGUGCUUAAUUCAUUCUAUAUUUUUUUGGGUAAUCAUGAAUUUCAUCUUAUGAUCUGCACUAAUAACAAAUGCACCAGCUCAGAUUUUAUCCAUCUACAGAACUACUCCCUCCGUUCCAAAUUACUCGUCGCAGAAAUGGAUGUAUGUAGAACUAAAAUACAUCUAGAUACAUCCAUACCCACGACAAGUAAUUCGGAACGGAGGGAGUAUUAAAGUAAAGAUAGCCUAUUGUUGGGAAGAAAUGCUAACAUAUUGGAUUCUUAUAGCAUCAUAGAGAGCAGGUGGGGCUCCCCAAGCCAUGAUAGCAUGCAGCGUCAAGGGCCUACAGUUUUUUCCUUCAGUUCUUGCAACAGCAAGGUCAUUGUCUACAACUAUCUUUAAUUUGUACAUCUAUUGGAAGAAAAAUCUGAACUUACAUCCCCUGCUAAGCCUGAUAUGGUGUUCCUGCACAGUUUGUAGAUCUUGGUCAGUUUCUGCAUGUUUUGUUGAUUUUUUUUCUUCAACAUUAUACAUGACCACAUGCAGAAUAUAGAUACAACUCUCAAGGUAAUUUCUCUUUGUUAUGUACUGCAAAUUAUUUUGUGUGAUAAAGUAACCAUUUGGAAAAAUCAGAAGUCCACACGCUUGUCAUAAAAAGAUAACUACGAACCUUACUUCAUAUGUUAUCGACAAUGAAAGCAGUGGUUGAAGCUCAUCUAGAACUGUGAAGUUUAUCCUUGAGAAAAACUUGUGUCAUCUGCCCAGCUGUUGUGGCGCUACUCAUCCUUGUUUAGUUAGGCAACUAACCAAUAAUGUGUUGCUACUUGCUAUGCACAAGAUAUAUCCACUUUUGAAAAAUGUGAUGUUGCAUUCUUGUGAUCUGGCGUCUUCCUUUGGACUUGCAUGAUGUUGUAGUACCCUUAAUUCUCUUAUCUGUAUUGUAGACCAUUGCGAAAUAUAUUAUUCAUGUUGCACUAUUGCUCAUGUGUUUAGAGUUUAGACAGAAUAUAUGUGAACAUGUUUAGCUGAUGUGCUAAAAAUGUUUGUGUUGAUAAUAACUGCUUAUUCAUCAUAUAAAAUAAAAACACCAUAUGCCACUUAAAUCCUAACAGGGGAAGCUAUACUCAGAUGGAAACAAUUCAUGUGCCUCUUUACAUAGAUAGCCAUUUCUAUUAAUUAUAUCAAAUUGAGUGGUUUUAGUGGACAGUAUUAGAACCAGAUUAGCGGCAUAGAUCGAUACAAUUAUUUACACAUAUCUCUUAGAGAUUUAAGAUUUUUUUUAAUCGAAGUUACUUGUGUGAGUUAUUUGUUGUUAAAAGACUAAUGUGAUGAUACACUUGUAUGUAUAGGGAUGUAUUUCUUUUUUUGCGGGAAAUAUGUUUACUGAUGUAAACUUGCACCACACCCAUGUAAUACAAAUAUAUGUGUACAUGUACACUAUACUAAAUAUCAUACGGCCUUGUGUCUCCUAAGAGAAGCAUUGCUAUUUGUUAAGUAUGGUGCGGAAAUUCAUGUUUAUUUUCUUUUUAUUAUUCAGUUGCUCAGUUUCGUAACAAAUGUACAUCAAAGCUUGAUAUCUAACCUAAGUUGAGUUUGUCUGUC